rnacentral:lncRNA from 1 species
CUCACCCGUGUUCCUGUAUGUGACCCCUCACCCGUGUUCCUGUAUGUGACCCCUCACCCGUGUUCCUGUAUGUGACCCCUCACCCGUGUUCCUGUAUGUGACCCCUCACCCGUGUUCCUGUAUGUGACCCCUGACCCGUGUUCCUGUAUGAUGUAACCCCUCACCCAUGGUUUUGUAAGCAACCCCUAUAAAUCCCAUUGGUCACCAGGUGGGCUUUGGUGGUAUUUAUAUUUGUUCUGUCAUGGGCUUCCUGUUCUGGGUCAGUCAAUCCGUGUGCUGUGUCUCCCCAGGAAAAGCCUGUCACACAACAGCCACUCUACAAGGUGCCAUGGCUUAAAGUGAAGACGGGAGUUGGGCAUGACACAGUCUAUAGGGAAUGACCCUAGAAGCAGGGAUGCAUUGAUAAGGAAGACACAGAGAAGGCUGGAGUGCCUGAGAUGGCAUGAGGAGAGUCUGGGAACACGGAGAAGGGCUGCCUCUCCACAGAAGGGGGCGGGGCUUGGCUGGCAUCUUUUGUAAGGAAGGAGCUCAUAUCGAUAUUUAGAGGAAGGUCCGAGAGUCCCCAGUGACAACUUCUGCUUUUUACAGGAAGUGGGUGGCAGUGCUUUCUUGCAGAGGAGAGGGCCUGCAGCGAGAGCCAUGAAGGAGAUUUGUGGAGAAAGAACAUUCUAGCUAUGGCUUGCGUGUGGGUGCCAGAGGUUUCCUGGAAGAAGAGAAUUCGGUGAAGUUGUCUGAGCUGGUCAGCACCAUCCUCUGAGGUUGGAAUCUCACCAGCCAGCCAUCUUCUUGCCUCCGAGCCAGCACCCCUGCAGCUGAGCAGGUCAACAUGCAAGCUUGUUUACGGUGUUGCCCUCGUGUUUAGAGACUGUAUCUACAGGGUGUCUUUCCUGAAGGACAAUGGCUCAGUUUCCCCUGGGAGGUGCCUCUUCUUCCUGCUUUCCUCUAACCUGCUACACCCUACCUUUCUACACAGUACUCCGAGUUUCCUUAAAAUUAUCUACUCUCUCUCUCUCUCUCUCUUUCUCUCUGUCUCUCUCUCUCUGUGUGUGUGUGUGUGUGUGUGUGUGUGUGUGUGCGCACGCUCGCACGUGUAUACAUGUGUGUGUGUACAUGAGUGGAGCCCAGAGGAAACCCUGAGUGUCAUCUUCUGCCACCCACACCCUUUGAGACUCGGUUUUUUUCUCAUUGGCCUGGCAGUCACCAACUAGGCUAGAAUGGCUGGCCAAGCAGCCACAGGGAUCCUCCUGUCUCUGCUUCCUUAGUGUUGGGUGGGAUUACAAGUGUGCACCACCACACCCACGUGUUUACACGGGCUCUAGGAUUUCACUCGGGUCUUUAGGUUUGCAAGGCCGUUGCUUGACUGAAGGAGCCAUUCCUGCAGAACAGUAUUCUAAAAUCGAAAGAGAGACACCGAGAUGCUCAGAGAUUUCAGUUCCUGAUGGUUGGG